rnacentral:rRNA from 1 species
GACGUAGGGCGCGAGCGUUGUCCGGAUUUAUUGGGCGUAAAGAGCUCGUAGGCGGCUUGUUGCGUCAGCUGUGAAAACCUGCAGCUUAACUGUGGGCGUGCGGUCGAUACGGGCAUCACUGGAGUUCGGCAGGGGAGACUGGAAUUCCUGGUGUAGCGGUGAAAUGCGCAGAGAUCAGCAGGAACACCCGUGGCGAAGGCGGCCCCCUGGGCCGUACCUGACGCUGAGGCGCGAAGGCUAGGGGAGCGAACGGG